rnacentral:rRNA from 1 species
UCCUCCCUCUGGCGGCGUGCUUAACACAUGCAAGUCGAACGGAAAGGCCCUGCUUUUGUGGGGUGCUCGAGUGGCGAACGGGUGAGUAACACGUGAGUAACCUGCCCUUGACUUUGGGAUAACUUCAGGAAACUGGGGCUAAUACCGGAUAGGAGCUCCUGCUGCAUGGUGGGGGUUGGAAAGUUUCGGCGGUUGGGGAUGGACUCGCGGCUUAUCAGCUUGUUGGUGGGGUAGUGGCUUACCAAGGCUUUGACGGGUAGCCGGCCUGAGAGGGUGACCGGCCACAUUGGGACUGAGAUACGGCCCAGACUCCUACGGGAGGCAGCAGUGGGGAAUAUUGCACAAUGGGCGGAAGCCUGAUGCAGCAACGCCGCGUGCGUGAUGACGGCCUUCGGGUUGUAAACCGCUUUCGCCUGUGACGAAGCGUGAGUGACGGUAAUGGGUAAAGAAGCACCGGCUAACUACGUG